GCGUUGGCCAAUUGAUUGAUGGUGCUUGCACCUGAUUGAUUUUGGUUGCCAACGAGUGGCGGACGGGUGAGUAACACGUAGGUAACCUGCCCAGAAGCGGGGGACAACAUUUGGAAACAGAUGCUAAUACCGCAUAACAGCGUUGUUCGCAUGAACAACGCUUAAAAGAUGGCUUCUCGCUAUCACUUCUGGAUGGACCUGCGGUGCAUUAGCUUGUUGGUGGGGUAACGGCCUACCAAGGCGAUGAUGCAUAGCCGAGUUGAGAGACUGAUCGGCCACAAUGGGACUGAGACACGGCCCAUACUCCUACGGGAGGCAGCAGUAGGGAAUCUUCCACAAUGGGCGCAAGCCUGAUGGAGCAACACCGCGUGAGUGAAGAAGGGUUUCGGCUCGUAAAGCUCUGUUGUUAAAGAAGAACACGUAUGAGAGUAACUGUUCAUACGUUGACGGUAUUUAACCAGAAAGUCACGGCUAACUACGUGCCAGCAGCCGCGGUAAUACGUAGGUGGCAAGCGUUAUCCGGAUUUAUUGGGCGUAAAGAGAGUGCAGGCGGUUUUCUAAGUCUGAUGUGAAAGCCUUCGGCUUAACCGGAGAAGUGCAUCGGAAACUGGAUAACUUGAGUGCAGAAGAGGGUAGUGGAACUCCAUGUGUAGCGGUGGAAUGCGUAGAUAUAUGGAAGAACACCAGUGGCGAAGGCGGCUACCUGGUCUGCAACUGACGCUGAGACUCGAAAGCAUGGGUAGCGAACA
rnacentral:rRNA from 1 species